UGGGGAAUAUUGCACAAUGGGCGGAAGCCUGAUGCAGCAACGCCGCGUGAGGGAUGACGGCCUUCGGGUUGUAAACCUCUUUUAGCAGGGAAGAAGCGAGAGUGACGGUACCUGCAGAAAAAGCGCCGGCUAACUACGUGCCAGCAGCCGCGGUAAUACGUAGGGCGCAAGCGUUAUCCGGAAUUAUUGGGCGUAAAGAGCUCGUAGGCGGUUUGUCGCGUCUGCUGUGAAAUCCCGAGGCUCAACCUCGGGCCUGCAGUGGGUACGGGCAGACUAGAGUGCGGUAGGGGAGAUUGGAAUUCCUGGUGUAGCGGUGGAAUGCGCAGAUAUCAGGAGGAACACCGAUGGCGAAGGCAGAUCUCUGGGCCGUAACUGACGCUGAGGAGCGAAAGGGUGGGGAGCAAACAGGCUUAGAUACCCUGGUAGUCCACCCCGUAAACGUUGGGAACUAGUUGUGGGACCAUUCCACGGUUUCCGUGACGCAGCUAACGCAUUAAGUUCCCCGCCUGGGGAGUACGGCCGCAAGGCUAAACUC
rnacentral:rRNA from 1 species